rnacentral:rRNA from 1 species
GCGGUUUAAUAAGUCUAUAGUUUAAUUUCAGUGCUUAACACUGUCCUGCUAUAGACUAUAGACUAGAGUGAGAUAGAGGCAAGUGGAAUUCCAUGUGUAGCGGUAAAAUGCGUAAAUAUAUGGAGGAACACCAGAGGCGUAGGCGGCUUGCUGGGUCUUUACUGACGCUGAGGCACGAAAGCGUGGGGAGCAAACAGGAUUAGAUACCCUGGUAGUCCACGCCGUAAACGAUGAGUACUAAGUGUCGGGGUUACUCGGUACUGAAGUUAACACAUUAAGUACUCCGCCUGAGUAGUACGUACGCAAGUAUGAAACUUAAAGGAAUUGACGGGACUCCGCACAAGCGGUGGAUCAUGUUGUUUAAUUCGAAGAUACACGAAAAACCUUACCAGGUCUUGACAUACUCUGCAAAGCUAUAGCAAUAUAGUGGAGGUUAUCAGGGAUACAGGUGGUGCAUGGUUGUCGUCAGCUCGUGUCGUGAGAUGUUAGGUUAAGUCCUAAAACGAGCGCAACCCUUGUCACUAGUUGCCAGCAUGUUAUGAUGGGCACUUUAGUGAGACUGCCAAUGAAAAAUUGGAGGAAGGUGAGGAUCACGUCAAAUCAUCAUGCCCCUUAUGAUCUGGGCUACAAACGUGAUACAAUGGCUGUUACAAAGAGUAGCUGAAACGCAAGUUCAUAGCCAAUCUCAUAAAAGCAGUCUCAGUUCGGAUUGAAGUCUGCAACUCGACUUCAUGAAGUUGGAAUCGCUAGUAAUCGCGAAUCAGCAUGUCGCGGUGAAUACGUUCUCGGGGUUUGUACACACCGCCGUCAAACCACGAAAGUUGGUAAUACUCGAAAACGGUAGCCUAACUUCUUCGGAAGAGGGAACCGUCUAAGGUAGGAUCGAUGAUUGGGGUUAAGUCGUAACAAGGUAUCCCUACCGGAAGGUGGGGAUGGAUCA